rnacentral:rRNA from 1 species
GCGAGUUACUAAUGCCAGCGAGGUUAAGAUGUCAGAAGCAUCGGAGCCGAAGGGAAACCAAGUCUGAAUAGGGCGUAGAGUUGGUAUUAGUAGACCCGAAACCGGGUGACCUAUCCAUGUCCAGGUUGAAGGAACCGUAAAAGGUUUUGGAGGACCGAACACACAUGUGUUGAAAAACGUGGUGAUGAGGUGUGGAUAGCGGAGAAAUUCCAAUCGAACUCGGAGAUAGCUGGUUCUCCUCGAAAUAGCUUUAGGGCUAGCCUCGAGCUGGAGUCUAACGGAGGUAAAGCACUGAACUGACGCGGGGCCCAAAAAGGUUACCAACUCAUAUCAAACUAAGAAUGCCGUCAAGAUACCCUCGGGAGUCAGUCUGCGUGAGAUAAGUCGCGUGGACAAAAGGGAAAGAGCCCAGACCGACAGCUAAGGUCCCAAAGUACGUGUUAAGUGGAAAAGGAUGUGGGAUUUCAUAGACAACUAGGAUGUUGGCUUAGAAGCAGCCAUACAUUUAAAGAGUGCGUAAUAGCUCACUAGUCGAGAAAACCUGCGCCGAAAAUGUAACGGGGCUAAAACACGACACCGAAGCUACGGAUUUCCUACUAGGUAGGAAGUGGUAGAGGAGCAUCCUGCAAGGACGAAGCCAAAGUGAGAGCGAUGGUGGACGAAACAGGAGAGAGAAUGCCGGAAUGAGUAGCGAGAUACAUGUGAGAAACAUGUAGGCCGAAUAUCUAAGGAUUCCUGGGUAAAGCUAAUCUUCCCAGGGUUAGUCGGGGCCUAAGGCGAGGACGAAAGUCGUAGUCGAUGGAUAACAGGUUGAUAUUCCUGUACUACACAUAAUCAGAACUGUGGGGACGCAGGAGGAUAGGGAAACCGGGGAAUGGAAAGACCCGGUCAAGCGUAAAGCUGUGGGAGAUAGGCAAAUCCGUCUCCUGUAAGUGAAACGUGAUGAGGACUGAAAAAAAGUAAGGAAGUUUCCGAAUCCACACUGCCGAGAAAAGCCGCUAUUGCGUUAUGUGUACCCGUACCGUAAACCGACACAGGUAGAUGAGGAGAAAAUCCACAGGCCGACGGGAGAAGUGUUGUUAAGGAACUCGGCAAAAUGACCCCGUAACUUCGGGAUAAGGGGAGCCUCGCAAGAGGCCGCAGAAAAGAGGCACAAGCAACUGUUUAGCAAAAACAUAGGUCUAUGCGAAACCGUAAGGUGAAGUAUAUGGGCUGACGCCUGCCCGGUGCUGGAAGGUUAAAAGGAGAGGUCAGCGCAAGCGAAGCUUUGAAUUCAAGCCCCAGUAAACGGCGGCCGUAACUAUAACGGUCCUAAGGUAGCGAAAUUCCUUGUCAGGUAAGUUCUGACCCGC